AUUGAACGCUGGCGGCAGGCCUAACACAUGCAAGUCGAGCGGAUGAAGGGAGCUUGCUCCUGGAUUCAGCGGCGGACGGGUGAGUAAUGCCUAGGAAUCUGCCUGGUCGUGGGGGAUAACGUCCGGAAACGGGCGCUAAUACCGCAUACGUCAUGAGGGAGAAAGUGGGGGAUCUUCGGACCUCACGCUAUCAGAUGAGCCUAGGUCGGAUUAGCUAGUUGGUGGGGUAAAGGCCUACCAAGGCGACGAUCCGUAACUGGUCUGAGAGGAUGAUCAGUCACACUGGAACGGGGACACGGUCCAGACUCCUACGGGAGGCAGCAGUGGGGAAUAGUGGACAAUGGUCGAAAGCCUGGUCCAACGAUGCCGCGUGUGUGAAGAAGGUCUUCGGAUUGUAAAGCACUUUAUGUGGGGGGAAAGGGCAGUAAGUUAAUACCUUGCUAUUUUGACGGUACCAACAGAAUAAGCACCGGCUAACUUCGUG
rnacentral:rRNA from 1 species